rnacentral:lncRNA from 1 species
AGUCCCUCUACAUGAUAUUGGUGAGGUUGGUAAUGAAAGUCAUUGAAGAAAUUGAGGCAAAAGUUAACUCUGUCCAAUCCUGGCCAGCAGGAUUAUUAAGUAACUUGAAAAAAAUAAUUCCUGAUACUCUAUUUAUUUAGUGAUUGAUCUUCUAAAUCAGUUUGUUUUGUUGUUGUUGUUUGAUUGAUUGAUUUUUUUGAGACAGUCUUGCUUUGUCACCCAGGCUGGAGUGCAGUGGCAUGAUCUCAGCUCACCGCAACCUCUGCCUCCCGGUUCAAGUGUUUCUCCUGCCUCAGCCCCCCAAGUAGCUGGGACUACAGGUGUGUGCCACCAUACCCAGAAAAUUUUGUAUUUUUAGUAGAGAUGGAGUUUUGCCAUGUUGGCCAGGCUGGUCUUGAACUGGCCUCAAGCAAUCCACCUGCCUCAGCCUCCCAAAGUGCUGGGAUUAUAGGCGUGAGCCACCAUGCCUGGCUUCACUUUGUUUUUUAAUACCAAGUCUCAUAAAUAGUAUAAAGUGGGAGUUAAGGGAUUUCAGUGCUGAUUUUGCCACUAACUUGUUCAAAAGCACCAGAGAGUACCACUGAGGUACUCAGCUGAGGAAAAACACUUAAAUGAUAUCUAGGGAACUUUACUGCUCUGACAGUCUGUGAUUGUACAUUAGUACUUUAGACAGCAGAGAGAUAAACCCUGAUUCCGGUUUACAGAUAAUUACUCAUCUCUCUGCCUGAGGCCAAGAAAAGCCCUCUGUGGAGCAGUGUGGAAGAAUGCCUUAGAGCACAGUAGCAGAGAGUUCCAGACCCGGAGGCAAGGGGAUCUGGGUUAACUCUCAACGUUGCCAACUGUGAUUUGAAUCUUCUGACAGGGUGCUGGGCCUGCUAGCAUCUCAGUUUUCUCACCUGUAAAAUGGAGACAAUAACAGUGUGUGAGCUUUUUUUGGUACAAACGUUAAUGCAUGAAAAGACCUACAACAUGUUUCCGCAUGGGCUAGUUGAAAGUUUUGGAGGAAAAAAUAUCAAGCUGAUAAUUUUUAAAUUUUUUUUUUUGUUUUGAGGCAGAGUCUUGCUCUGUCACCCAGGCUGGAGGACAGUUCCACGAUCUUGGCUCACUGCAACCCCCGCCUGCUGGGUUCAAGUGAAUCUCAUGCCUCAGCCUUCCCAGUAGCUGGGACUACAGGUGCGUGCUACCAUGCCCGGCUAAUUUUUGCAUUUUUAGUAGAGAUGGGGUUUCACCAUUUUGGCCAGGCUGGUCUCGAACUCCUAACCUUAGGUGAUUCACCCCCUCCUCGGCCUCCCAAAGUGCUGGGAUUACAGGUGUGAGCCACCUCGCCCAGCCGUAAAAUUCUUAAUAUGUAAGUAUUUUCUUCAAAAAUGAAUCUAAUUUGCAUAACUAAAGUUUCUGAAUGCUUUAUCUAGAAUAAUCAUGGGACUGGAAGUUUCUUAAUAGUUCUUCUCUAGGUUUUUGCACUUUAAAUACCCUGCAGGUCUUUUCAUUCUAAUAUAACAUAAUCACAGUAAUAAGAAGUGUGACAAAGCUCUAGUAGUUCAUGGUGCCUGUGCCUCAUUCACUCGUCAGCGAAGCCUCCCUCAGCAUCCCCUCCCCACAUCCAUCCCUGCACACUGCACCCUCUCCAAGCUGCUGCCAGCCGUGCUGCUCCCCUGCCUCCUUACUGGAGUGCAAGCCAGUAAAAAAGGAAGCAAAUUCGGUUAUGUAAAGCACAUUCUGGGUAAGGAAAGGCAAGCAUGUGUUUCUGCUUGACUGAAAUUGGUUUUUUUUUUUCCCCACCAGUUUGUCCUCUUAUCGGGAUACGUCAGAAAUUAGAGAGACCCUGGCAAUCACAGCUUCCACCUCCUCAUUUUACAAAUGAGCAACUAGGCUCAGAGUACAGAAGUGGCUUUCCCAGGGUCACACAGCCAGCUUGUGACAGAGUCAGGAUUCAAGUACCAUCUCCUGACUUCUCCAUUGCACCAGACGUCGAUAGAACACAGAGAACCUAAAAGAAGAAAGAAAAAAAAAUAGAGCUUUUGGGAAUAUAUUGGGCUUCUGGUUUUCAAGGACAAUUUUAUGAUAAGUAGCAAUGAUGCCUCAAAAGCUCUGGUAGCUAGCUUGAAUGAACUUAUGUAAUAAACAUUUAUCACAGAACAUGUGUCAUCAAACACCUGCCAGUUCUGAGCGUUGGCACCAAAGCUGCUUUCAUUGUCAAAGAAAAGAGGGGGAAAGGAACUUGGCUGAACAAAGCUGGCAGACGUUUAUACUAGAAAAUUUAGAGAUGUCAGGAGCAAGGGAGCACCAGUGGUAGAAGAACCUGCCUCCCCUGGCUCCAUCAAAGGCCACAGGCCCAUGAGAAUCACCCGGCCUGCUCUGAGCAGCACACUCGGAGGCCACAGCCACGCACAGGAAAGUGAGAGGAAGUGGAAACGUGCGAGCAGAGGGCUCAAAGCGACGGGCUCACCACCGG